UUUGUAAUAUUUAUAUAAUUUUAUCUCUCAUAACAAAUUUAAAAAUAAGUUUUCUUCUGUGGACUUUAAUUACCCCACGUCUCUAUUUUGAACAGACAUUUGAUUUGACAUUUGCAGCUAUGUUGGCAGCACUGCAAAUUGAUUCAUUUAUUCUUAUUGAUUUGUCUGUGUUUAUUUCGUCGUAAUAUUUUUAAUUAUUAUCUAAAUAUCUAAUUAUUUAGUAAUACGUGUGAUACAUUCUUGUGCAUUUCUUUCACUAAACAAAUAACACACAGUACGAGUAAGAAUCAAGUUUUGAAUACCUGUAGCUUAUAGUUUAUCAUUUCAACCUGUGCAAUUGUGUUCACCUUAUUUUAAAAUGAAUUUUGAAGCUAAUAGGCUUAAUACAUUUAACAAUUGGCCUUCAUCAGCACCCGUAGAUCCUAUAAGGAUUGCAAAAGCAGGAUUUUUUUCAACCGGCGAAGGGACAGAAGUGAAGUGCUUUUGUUGUGGUAAUAAAAUAUCGCAGUGGAACUAUGGGGACCAGGUGAUGUGGAGACACAGGCAACUGAAGCCUGACUGCCCGUUCGUGUUGCAACCUGAGCUGUCAGGGAAUGUGCCGUUAGUGCUAGGGCAAGAGCAAAGGGCUAGUGUUACUACCACUAACCAAGCCCAGAGUUCUGAGGACGUACAGAAUGACCAUACAUACACAGCACAUGACUAUGGACUAACUGAAGAAGAUGAAACAUAUCAGAAUGAUGCUUUGCGACUUCUCUCAUUUGUUAAUUGGGAUGAUACUUUGGUCUCCCGAGAGGCACUGGUCUAUGCGGGCUUCUACCACGCAGGGGAAGGAAGACUCCGCUGUGCCUGGUGUGGAGGCCAAUUGGAAUACUUCAAUCAUUUUAGAUUGGAGCCACCCCUAGAAGUACAUAGAAUGUAUUUCCCUCGUUGUCAGCGCCCUGAUCAGGUCCAGGCAACUACAAACUUCUCUGAACCGUCUUCGCCGUCACAGACUCCGUCGCCGCCUAGUGAGGAGACUCGGGCCGAAACACCACCCUUGAAUAAUCAACCUCAAUCGAUGGGCAUUUUAUGUCAUAAUGAAUACGAGAGACUGAUCAGACUGAGAGAGAGCAAAGGCUUUGCUGAGGAAAGGUCCGGUGCAGCCCACAACGAGCGUGUGCUAAGCGAGGGCGGUACGUGGCGCAACCUGGGCGUGGUGGGCAGCGGCGCGCGCCACCCGCAGUACGCGUGCCUUAACGAGCGCCUCGGCAGCUUCGCGCGCUGGCCCGCCGACCGGCCGCAGGCGCCGCGGGCGCUGGCCGAGGCCGGCUUCUUCCAUACCGGGACUGAUGACCAGGUCCGUUGCUUCUACUGCGAUGGCGGUCUGGGCAAGUGGGAGGCGGGAGACACCCCGUGGUCAGAGCACGCGUUCUGGUUCCCUCACUGCGGAUACGUCAUACUCGUCAAGGGACAGGAGUUCAUUGAUGCCACGAGACGACGACAUGCAGUCAAGCACACUGUGAGCAUAUCCGCAGAACGUUCAAGACAACGAAAUGCAGCAGGCAACAUUACUAUUACAGAAAGUCAGGUAGAAGAAUGUAUGGAAAGCGCUAUAGCGGCGGCUGCUUUGGGCGCUGGUUUGGACGCAGCUCGAGUGCGCAGGGCAAUAGCAAAGAGGUUGCGAAAUACUGGUGUUCCAUUUACGUCAUCAGAAGCAUUGAUAGAUGCAGUGUUAGAUGAACAAUUGAACGAAGAGCCUUGGGGCGUAUCGCAACAAAGUCGCCUUGCACGGGAUAUACUCGCUGAAACAUUCGGUGAUUUUCCUAACCCAAUGAGACGUAAUGCGGCUAAUCAAAUGGACCGGCUAGCGGAGAGUGAAUCAGAACCGGAAAGUGAAGACGAUCACCCACCUCCCAGUAGUCCGCCGCCCAGACAAACUCAACCUGCAGCACCAACAAGCAAACCCCCCGAGAAUACCAGUUCUACAGAAAACGUAGAAAGUACUCAAGAACCCGAAGGAAAGAAAUUAUCUUUAGAAGAAGAGAAUAGACAGCUAAAAGAAGCUAGAUUAUGUAAAGUGUGCAUGGAUUCGGAGGUGAGCGUGGUGUUCCUGCCGUGCGGGCACAUGGUGUCGUGCGGCCGCUGCGGCGCGGCGCUGGGCGCGUGUCCGCUCUGCCGCGCGGCUGUACGCGCGCUCGUGCGGGCCUACCUCGCCUGACCCGCCACGCCCUGCCGCGCACAGGUACUGCAGCCUUGUGUAGUAGUGAGCCUAGUGUUCCUGCCGGGCGCGCGCUCGUGCGGGCCUACCUCGCCUGACCCGCCACGCCCUGCCGCGCACAGGUACUGCAGCCUUGUGUAGUAGUGAGCCUAGUGUUCCUGCAGGGCGCGCGCUCGUGCGGGCCUACCUCGCCUGACCCGCCACGCCCUGCCGCGCACAGGUACUGCAGCCUUGUGUAGUAGUGAGCCUAGUGUUCCUGCAGGGCGCGCGCUCGUGCGGGCCUACCUCGCCUGACCCGCCACGCCCUGCCGCGCACAGGUACUGCAGCCUUGUGUAGUAGUGAGCCUAGUGUUCCUGCAGGGCGCGCGCUCGUGCGGGCCUACCUCGCCUGACCCGCCACGCCCUGCCGCGCACAGGUACUGCAGCCUUGUGUAGUAGUGAGCCUAGUGUUCCUGCAGGGCGCGCGCUCGUGCGGGCCUACCUCGCCUGACCCGCCACGCCCUGCCGCGCACAGGUACUGCAGCCUUGUGUAGUAGUGAGCCUAGUGUUCCUGCAGGGCGCGCGCUCGUGCGGGCCUACCUCGCCUGACCCGCCACGCCCUGCCGCGCACAGGUACUGAAGCCUUGUGUAGUAGUGAGCCUAGUGUUCCUGCAGGGCGCGCGCUCGUGCGGGCCUACCUCGCCUGACCCGCCACGCCCUGCCGCGCACAGGUACUGCAGCCUUGUGUAGUAGUGAGCCUAGUGUUCCUGCAGGGCGCGCGCUCGUGCGGGCCUACCUCGCCUGACCCGCCACGCCCUGCCGCGCACAGGUACUGCAGCCUUGUGUAGUAGUGAGCCUAGUGUUCCUGCCGGGCGCGCGCUCGUGCGGGCCUACCUCGCCUGACCCGCCACGCCCUGCCGCGCACAGGUACUGCAGCCUUGUGUAGUAGUGAGCCUAGUGUUCCUGCAGGGCGCGCGCUCGUGCGGGCCUACCUCGCCUGACCCGCCACGCCCUGCCGCGCACAGGUACUGCAGCCUUGUGUAGUAGUGAGCCUAGUGUUCCUGCAGGGCGCGCGCUCGUGCGGGCCUACCUCGCCUGACCCGCCACGCCCUGCCGCGCACAGGUACUGCAGCCUUGUGUAGUAGUGAGCCUAGUGUUCCUGCAGGGCGCGCGCUCGUGCGGGCCUACCUCGCCUGACCCGCCACGCCCUGCCGCGCACAGGUACUGCAGCCUUGUGUAGUAGUGAGCCUAGUGUUCCUGCAGGGCGCGCGCUCGUGCGGGCCUACCUCGCCUGACCCGCCACGCCCUGCCGCGCACAGGUACUGCAGCCUUGUGUAGUAGUGAGCCUAGUGUUCCUGCCGGGCGCGCGCUCGUGCGGGCCUACCUCGCCUGACCCGCCACGCCCUGCCGCGCACAGAUGGACAUGGGAACACUCUCGUCCUGCGAUUAUGAUGACUCCUAUAAAAUCAAAAGAUGGUUGUUUAGAUCGUAAUAGUAAUAGAUUCGCAUGUUCUAUAUAAACUGUUACUUAAUUUAUUGGGCUUACAUUAGAUGUAUGCGUUAAUAAGUAAAACAAAUUAACAAAAAAACAUAUAAAUCCAAAAAAUCUCUAAAAAUACUUGUAUAAACUGUAAAA